AGAAUCAACGCUGGCGGCGUGCCUAACACAUGCAAGUCGAACGAGAAAGUGGAGCAAUCCAUGAGUAAAGUGGCGCACGGGUGAGUAACACGUGACUAACCUACCUUUUAGUGGGGGAUAACCUAGGGAAACCUGGGCUAAUACCGCAUAAUACCUACGGGUCAAAGCAGCAAUGCGCUGAAAGAGGGGGUCGCGGUCGAUUAGUUAGUUGGCAGGGUAAUGGCCUACCAAGACUGUGAUCGAUAUCCGGCCUGAGAGGGCGCACGGACACACUGGAACUGAAACACGGUCCAGACUCCUACGGGAGGCAGCAGUGGGGAAUUUUGCGCAAUGGGGGAAACCCUGACGCAGCAACGCCGCGUGGAGGAUGAAGUCCCUUGGGACGUAAACUCCUUUCGAUCGGGACGAUAAUGACGGUACCGGAAGAAGAACGCCCCGGCUAACUUCGCGCCAGCAGCCGC
rnacentral:rRNA from 1 species